AGCGUACAGGCCGAGCAGGAUUAUCGUCAGGCGCCGCCCUCCGAAGGCGGAGAGGCUCGGUUCGAGUCCGAGGUACGCUGCCA
rnacentral:tRNA from 1 species